UCAAAAACACAGGUAAAAUAUCAAUGCUUUUACGGAAAAUGGCUUACCGAUUUUUUUUUCUAUAAGACAUUUUCCAACUCUCACCAAUCUCUCUUAGCAGUUCUUCUCAUCUUCCUUCUUCUUCAUCCAGGGCUGCUGUUUCAUUUCGCUCAAAUCUUCCUCUUCGCAGGGUCUUGGCUUAAGUAAUUAUGCAACAACUGGAAGGAUUAUUCCAAUUGUGAAAGCCUCACCACGACUUUCUUCUUCUCCCACCUCCAUCAAUUUUCUAACAGCAAAUCACUUACGCAGGCACUGACUCGUGCUAGGGUCCCCAUAGUAAAGCUUAUGGAUCCAGUGACUGGAAUUUCCUGUGACAUAUGCGUAAACAAUGUUUUUGCUGUAGUAAAUACAACGCUUCUACGAGAUUAUGCAAAGAUCGAUGUAAGAUUAUAGCAGUUGGCUUUUACUGUGAAACACUGGGCCAAGACCAGAUGAGUGAAUGCAACUUACCAAAGGACUCUAUCUAGCUACGCCAACGUAGACCUGCUAUCCUUCCAUGCUUGCAGUAAGGGAGAAAAAGACUGGACAAGAAAAAUUGGCAAUGAUCGUCAUUUAAUCUGCAUAGAGGAUCCGUUUGUGGUAUCUCAUGACCUUGGUCGAGUGGUGGACAAGUUCAGCAUUAAAGUUCUAAGAGAAGAGUUUGAACGAGCUUCUGAUGUAAUGUAGUAUGAUCCAAAUCCUUGGAUAACACUUUUUGAACCUUACGUCAUUGGGUAACAAAACAUUGUCCAAGUGUGUUAGAAAAUCAAUGGUUAAAGCUAUUUGGUUGGUUUUUAUAA